rnacentral:rRNA from 1 species
UACGUAGGGUGCAAGCGUUAAUCGGAAUUACUGGGCGUAAAGCGUGCGCAGGCGGUUGUGCAAGACAGAUGUGAAAUCCCCGGGCUCAACCUGGGAAUUGCAUUUGUGACUGCACGGCUAGAGUGUGUCAGAGGGGGGUAGAAUUCCACGUGUAGCAGUGAAAUGCGUAGAGAUGUGGAGGAAUACCGAUGGCGAAGGCAGCCCCCCUGGGAUAACACUGACGCUCAGGCACGGAAAGCGUGGGGAGCAAACAGG